rnacentral:rRNA from 1 species
AUUGAACGCUGGCGGCAGGCCUAACACAUGCAAGUCGAACGAGUGGCGGACGGGUGAGUAAUGUCUGGGAAACUGCCUGAUGGAGGGGGAUAAACACUGGAAACGGUAGCUAAUACCGCCUACUAUCGGUUGUGCCCAGAUGGGAUUAGCUAGGAGGUGGGGUAAAGGCUCACCUAGGCGACGAUCCCUAGCUGGUCUGAGAGGAUGACCUGCCAAAAUGGAACUGAGCCCCGGUCCAGCCGCCUACGGUAGGCAGAGGUGGGGAAUAGUGCACAUUGGGCGCAAGCCUGAGGCAGCCAGGCCUGUUGUAGAAAGCAGGCCUUCGGGUUGUAAAGUACUUUCAUCGGGGAGGCGUUACCCGCAGAAAAAGCACCGGCUAACUCCGUGCCAGCAGCCACGGUAAUAC